UGUUUCGUAUGUAGUCUUUUAGUGAAAUCUUUAAAAAGACUUAUAUUUAGGAACAGAGGGAGUAGUAACCCAUGCGAUGGGAAGAACAAAGAUACAGUACAAAAUAAGUCGAUCGAGUUCGAAAUACAACUGUGCAGAGAAACGAGUCCCUCAUCAGUACAUCACUGUAGCUGCUUUGAUCAAUCUGUGCACUAUAUCCACCGCAGGCUUAGCGUGGAGCAUUAUUGGCCAGGAUCACGAGUGGUACUGCCUGCUAAUGAGGCCAAGAAGCCCAGCUUAAGUUGUGCUGCUGUGUAGGCUGCAUUAUUGUCCUUGCGUUCCAGGUGUGUGUUCAACUUCAAUCAGUUUUGGCCGAUGCUCCUCCUGCUACAAGACCUCUGUGACUGUGAGCAUGCACCGGUUAUCUGAUCUGCAGAACGCCGUAUUGAUUGGGCAUGAUCUUCUCUGGAGCACUUCCAUUGUGUGUGGUCGCAGUCUGAACAGAGUUUCUUUUUUUUGUGCUUCCGAGUAUGAAAAAGAAGGGUCAUAUUUGUCAAUUCUGGCGGUCUCAUUGAAUGUGUGUAAUAAAUGGAGAUGAUCGUGAGAAGUGGCCGAGCAACUGAAGACUGACUGGCAGACAGACACAGGUCUGCAUGCGCGCGUACGAGAGAACCCGAUCUGGAUCCCCGGGGAAUGAAGCUCUGCAUCUGGGUUCCGGCGAUCGAGAUUCGCUCCAUCUGGGCCGUCCAUCUAAUUCCCUUGAUCUGAUGUGCGGAGGCAAGCAUGACGAUGAAGCUCUGCUGGGAACCUCCUCUUAAUUCCCUUGUCUCUGUAGCUCCACAUGUGAUGUACUAGUACGGGUGAUUUGACAGGAACUCACAUGGUCCGGCCGCAGAGAUCCUCCUGUCGCUCAGUUCAGUCAGCUGGCCUCACUCCGGCUUUGCCAGUGGUAGUUUGUGGGCGAGGAGCCUCGAAUUAUAGGUUGUUUUUUCUUUCGGCUUUCUUCUUUGUGGGAGUGAUUACAAAUUAUACGACUGCUAUGUUCUUGGCGCUUUUUGGCACUAGACGUAGAUGGUGUUUCCAUAAA